rnacentral:rRNA from 1 species
GGAUUAGAUACCCUGGUAGUCCACGCCGUAAACGAUGGUUACUAGCUGUUUGGACCUUGCGUCUAAGUGGCUAAGCGAAAGUGAUAAGUAACCCACCUGGGGAGUACGUUCGCAAGAAUGAAACUCAAAGGAAUUGACGGGGGCCCGCACAAGCGGUGGAGCAUGUGGUUUAAUUCGAUGAUACGCGAGGAACCUUACCAGGGCUUAAAUGUAAGUUGCAUUAGUUAGAGAUAGCUAUUUCUUCGGACUACUUACAAGGUGCUGCAUGGUUGUCGUCAGCUCGUGCCG